UGUAUUUGCAAUAUCUUCAAAGUGAGCAAAUAUCAGCUGAGGAAUUUGAUCUUUAUUGGCGCAAAUGUGCGCCAUUUCGGUUCAAACAGAUAUCGGAAUCUCAGACAACGGCAGAAAUUUUUAAGUUAUGGCCUGACUACAUAAAACCAUCAGAUUUUCAUUUGAUUGAUAUAGAUUUCUCCCUAAAAUUUCCGAUGGCCAAAAAUUUGUAUGAACGAUGGCCUCAAUUUAGCGAACAAAUUUUGUGCGUUUUAAAAACUAAAAUUUCUUCCGCAUAGAUUUCUAAAAUGCUUGCCGAUAUUGAUUCCAGAAAUGAUGGUAAAAACUCUAAUUUAAAAGAUAAAAUUUAUUUUAAUAAAUACUUUUGUUAUAGAGUCUAAAACAUUUAUGAUAUUCUGGUUUUUACACAAUCUCUUCCCACCAUAACUAAAAGUUUCUACGGAGUCUAGUGGCUCAAAAAUUCGAAAGAAAUACUCAAUUGCUGAUUCCCAAGAAGGAUUCGCCAUAAUAGCAAAUACUUCAGAGGAAUUAGAAGUUGAACUGAAAUUACUCAAGCUACAAUGCCGAAAUAUACAACCAAGAUUAUUAAUUAUAGGUGAAAUAUGAAAUAUUAAAUCUAUUUUUGUUUUUGUAGAUAACAUUAAAUAUCCUAUUUUGACAUUUUUAAAUGCUCUUGAUGCAAUAUUU